GACGAACCGUGCGAACGUUGUUCGGAAUCACUGGGCUUAAAGGGCGCGUAGGCGGAUUGCCAAGUCAGUGGUGAAAUCUCUCAGCUCAACUGGGAAAUUGCUUUUGAUACUGGCAGUCUCGAGUGAGGUAGGGGCAUGUGGAGCUCUCGGUGGAGCGGUGAAAUGUGUUGAUAUCGGGAGGAACUCCGGUGGCGAAAGCGACGUGCUGGACCUCAACUGACGCUGAGGCGCGAAAGCUAGGGGAGCAAACGGG
rnacentral:rRNA from 1 species